UAAGGGAUAUUGCGCCAAUGGGCGAAAGCCUGACGCAGCAACGCCGCGUGCGGGAGGACGGCCUUCGGGUUGUAAACCGCUUUUCUGGGGGAAGAGGGAGGACGGUACCCUGGGAAGAAGUCUCGGCUAACUACGUGCCAGCAGCCGCGGUAAAACGUAGGAGGCGAGCGUUAUCCGGAUUUACUGGGUGUAAAGCGCGUGCAGGCGGUUUAGCAAGUCGUGCGUGAAAGCGCUCUGGCUCAACCGGGCGAGGACGUGCGGAACUGCUGAACUGGAGGCAGGUAGAGGCGUGUGGAAUUCCGGGUGUAGUGGUGAAAUGCGUAGAGAUCCGGAGGAACACCAGUGGCGAAGGCGACGCGCUGGGCCUGGCCUGACGCUAAGACGCGAAAGCAUGGGGAGCGAACGG
rnacentral:rRNA from 1 species